UACGGGAGGCAGCAGUGGGGAAUAUUGGUCAAUGGGCGAAAGCCUGAACCAGCAAUGCCGCCUGAGUGAUGAAGGCCUUCGGGUUGUAAAGCUAUGUCAGUGGGAACGAAUAAGUCGAUUAAUACUUGGCGAUGACGGUACCCACAAAGGAAGCACCGGCUAACUAUGUGCCAGCAGCCGCGGUAAUACAGAGGGUGCAAGCGUUGUUUGGAAUUAUUGGGCGUAAAGAGCGGGUGGGCGGUUUGAUAAGUAGGUCGUGAAAUCCCUAGGCUUAACCUAGGAACUGCGAUCGAAACUGUCAGACUAGAGUAUGGGAGGGGAUGGUAGAAUUCCUGGUGUAGAGGUGAAAUUCGUAGAUAUCAGGAGGAAUACCUGUGGGGAAGGCGACCAUCUGGAAGAUUACUGACGCUGAGACGCGAAAGCGUGGGGAGCAAACAGGAUUAGAUACCCUGGUAGUUCACGCCGUAAACUAUGAAUGAUAGGUGUUGUGGGUAUUGACCCCUUCAGUGCCAAAGCUAACGCGUUAAGCACUCCGC
rnacentral:rRNA from 1 species